rnacentral:rRNA from 1 species
GAUGGACGCUGGCGGCGUGCCUAAUACAUGCAAGUCGAGCGAACAGACGAGGAGCUUGCUCCUUUGACGUUAGCGGCGGACGGGUGAGUAACACGUGGGUAACCUACCUAUAAGACUGGGAUAACUUCGGGAAACCGGAGCUAAUACCGGAUAAUAUUUCGAACCGCAUGGUUCGAUAGUGAAUGAUGGCUCGGCUAACCCUUAUAGAUGGACCUGCGCCGUAGUAGCUAGUUGGUAAGGUAACGGCUUACCAAGGCAACGAUACGUAGCCGACCUGAGAGGGUGAUCGGCCACACUGGAACUGAGACACGGUCCAGACUCCUACGGGAGGCAGCAGUAGGGAAUCUUCCGCAAUGGGCGAAAGCCUGACGGAGCAACGCCGCGUGAGUGAUGAAGGUCUUCGGAUCGUAAAACUCUGUUAUUAGGGAAGAACAAACGUGUAAGUAACUGUGCACGCCUUGACGGUACCUAAUCAGAAAGCCACGGCUAACUACGUGCCAGCCGCCGCGGUAA